rnacentral:rRNA from 1 species
CAAGCUCGCGAGAGUAAGCUAAUCUCUUAAAGCCGUCUCAGUUCGGACUGUAGGCUGCAACUCGCCUACACGAAGUCGGAAUCGCUAGUAAUCGCGGAUCAGCAUGCCGCGGUGAAUACGUUCCCGGGCCUUGUACACACCGCCCGUCACACCAUGGGAGUUUGUAACGCCCAAAGUCGGUGGCCUAACCUUUAUAGGAGUCAGCCGUCUAAGGUAGGACAGAUGAUUAGGGUGAAGUCGUAACAAGGUAUC